rnacentral:rRNA from 1 species
AGUGAACGCUGGCGGUAGGCCUAACACAUGCAAGUCGAACGGCAGCACAGUAAGAGCUUGCUCUUACGGGUUGCGAGUGGCGUACGUGUGAGGUAUACAUCGUAAUCUACUUUUUCGUGUGGGUUAACGUAGGGAAACUUACGCUACUACCGCAUACGACCUACGGUUGUAAUCAUUGGUUCUUCUCACCUUUCGCGAUUUUAUUAGCCGAUUUCGGAUUAGCUAGUUGGCGGGGGAAAGGCCCACCACGGCGACGAUCCGUAGCUGGUCUGAGAGGAUGAUCAGAGACACUGGAACUGAGACACGGUCCAGAGGCCUACGGGAGGGAGCAGUGGGGAAUAUUGGACAAUGGGCGAAAGCGUGAUACAGCAAGAGCGAGUGGGAGAAGAAGGAGUACGGGUUGUAAAGCCCUUUUGUUGGGAAAGAAAAGAAGCAGGUUAAGACCGCGAUGUACUGACGGUAACAAAAGAAUAAGCACCGGCUAACUACGUG